ensembl:lncRNA novel transcript
UAACGCCCGGCCCUGCCCCCAGCAGAGGCGGAAGCGGUGUCGCUCUGAGGGGUCGCCAGUCGCCGCAGGCGCUUCAGCCCAGCGGCGGGCCUUGGCCCUUGGCUGCCUACUCCUACCGCCCCAGCCCCGGGCGGCCCUGGGCCUGCUGCGGGCGCGGCGCUGCCCGACCAGAGCUUCCUGUGGAACGUCUUCCAGAGGGUCGAUAAAGACAGGAGUGGAGUGAUAUCAGACACCGAGCUUCAGCAAGCUCUCUCCAACGGUGAGUGGGCCAGUGGGAACUGGGUCUCCGGACCAAGAAGCCGUGAGCCUGCCCUGUUCACAGUGGAUAACUUUCUGAAGUUGUUUUUCCAAGGACAAAGGAAUCAUUAGGACAAAUUGUUAAUACUGCUUCAUGGUGGAGAUGCUUCUGGUUUAUUUUGUGGCUACCGCUGUUACUGCUUGGAGUGCCUCACCGAGCCAGGAUGAAGCUCCACCCGCCCUUCAGGAUGCAAAGCCCUCCUCUAUAAAGUGCAUGCGGGGCCAGAUGCAGUGGCUCACAUCUGACCUCCCAACACUUUGGGAGGCCGAGGCAGGGGGAUCGCUUGAGCCCAGGAGUUUGAGACCAGCCUGGACAACAUUGAUGAAGCCCCACCCGCCCUUCAGGAUGCCAGCCUUGGCAACAUCGUGAGACCCUGUUUCUACAAAAACUAAACAAGUGUAGUGGUGCACGCCUGUAUUCCCAGCUACUUGGGAGGCUGAGAUGGGAAGAUCACUUGAGCCUGGGAGGUUGAGGCUGCAUUGAGCUGAGAUCAAGCCACGGCACUCCAGCCUGGGAGACAGAGCGAAACCCCAUCUCAAAAAAACAAAGAAAGUGGAUGCGUGCUGCUCCUGCCAUUGGAUCAUCGCAGCAUUUUUCUUUUCUCUGAUAUGCGCCUUUUUCCUCAUCGUGGGGGCUCAUGUUUUCGUAAUUCCCUCUCGCUACUAGAUUGUGAGCUGUGUGAAGGAAGGUUCAUAGUUGAGUUGUAUGUACAGGCACACAAAAUUUGUCCUUGGAUAGACACAUAUCAAUCCACUUCCUUCUCCUCUCUGAAUUUCUUUAUUUAAAAAAAAAAGUAGAGAUGGAGUCUCACUGUCUUGCCCAGGCUGGUGUCAAACUCCUAGGCUCAAGUGAUCCUCCCACCUCUACUAAUAUGAAUUAUUAGGCUAUGCUAAUAUGAAUUUGUAUACUAAUAUGAUUGAAAUUAGUUUGACUUCUAUAAUAAUUGUUCUCCCAGAUUGGGCUUCUGUUUUGAUAGUAGAACUAAAUUAUUAGGCUAUUUCAAGAAAUUAAUAUAUUACUGGUAGAAAAACUGAAGCUACAAAAUGGCCUGGUUUCUCACUUCAGUUAAAUUUGUGCUUCUGAGUGCUUGUAUUCUAGGUGAAACCGCACUGAGAAGGUAUUUGUGGCCUAUACGCUGAUUCAUUGAUUAGACUUCUUUGCACAGGAGAGCUGCUAAAAAUUACUGCGGUGAACAGAUGGAGGCCCAUUGAGGCUUCUCUGUCCUCCACGGGGAACAGCAUUGGCCUAAACCUGCAGACACCAUUGCAAAGGGAAUUCAGGCAAACCGGCUGGUGAAGAAUGAUUCCAGCGUGGGGACAGAGGCUGACAUUUCUUGCGCACGUGGACUCCCUUUAAUCCAGUGACUGUCAGGUCGAUCAUAUACUACACUGAAGGCUGGUUACGCUCUUAUGUGCAAUAGAACCUCAAACACAUCGUAACACACCUUUGGAGAAUCCUUACAAGAACACCAAGUUAACAGUUAUCUCUGACCACACUACCUCAGCAAAAAACCAGGAAGAAAAAAUAUUCUUCAACCCUUUUCAGGGACAGAAAGCAUCAUUUCAAAAGUCCAAGAAGGGAAGCAAAACUUCUGACCUGAGACAUCGAAGCAGAUAAAAAGCCGCUACACAAAAUGUAUCGCUACAACUAGAGGGCAGUCUUGCCUUUCUUCCAUUCAAUUAUUCAGUUUCUCAUGUUCCUAAGUGCCAGCCCAGAACCAUGGAAUGUGAAGAAACACAAAACUCACUCCUCUGCAUCAGUGAAUUGAUUGUGUGGUGGGGAUGUAAGUCUGCAUGUGACUGACAGUUCCCCAAAGUGGUGCCAAGUCAAUCUAAACUAGAGAGAAUUUCUGGCCAGGCCAAGCAGAGAUUUCAUGGAUGAAGUCUCCCAAAGACUGAUUUCCUAAACAUUAAACAUCACUGGUUUUCCAAAA